GGUUAUUGGAGCUCAGUAUUUACUGUCACCUCUUCUUUCCCCACCCUCUCUGUUCAGGUCUUUGCCUUCACACAGGCCAAGGGGAUGAUCUUUCUAUCCUGCUCGUGAUAUAUUCUGAGCCAGAGGCCUAUGUCCUUGUUAUUCAGAACAGAGCUAUGGAAGAUGAACAAGAAGAUGAACGUCUCUGGUUACAAUACAUGUAAAAGAAAGAAUGGGAUUCUUAACAUGCAUCAAAUGUUCAAACACCUUUCUCAGUAAUUUCUAUAUCUCGUCUCAUUGAUCCUUGGUUACGCUAAUAUUUGGGUUAACAGUCCUCAGGAAGUUCAAUUCUCAAUGUAACCAUAUUUCUUAUAUUAUACUUUUGUGUAUAAAAUAAUUUGUAUCUAAAGAAGUAGGUAUGGGAAUAAGAUGGAAUGAGAUUCUGAGAGUCUUAGGAAAAGCUAUUUAAAUGGGAAAGGAAGGUUAACAAUGUUAGCAACUAUGAACUACAAUUUUACAACAUAAAAGACAAGAUGAAAAUAACUAAGCCAUGCAUAAUUCAUUGAGAACUAGGCCUGGUUCUCAAAUUACAAUGUGAAUGUGAGUCAAUUUUGGAUUUUCAUCAAAUGCCAAUUUCUGGUCAUGGCUCCAAACAUCCUGAAUCAGAAACUAUUGGGAAGGGUGGCCAACAAUGAAUGACAUAAUGUAUUUAAAUGUUAUAAAAAUAGCAAACAACAGAACAAAACAAACAAAAACACAUAGUGAAAUAAAGGCAUACUGAAUUACAAUGGUGAAACUAAAUUUACAGUGUAUUCAUUAGGUAGUGGCCUAAAUAUUAGCUUCUCUGAUACCCUCCUGGACUCUGCCAAGUAGUGGGUGAGACCAGGAGGUAAAGGCCACAGGACCACUAGACUCCAGACCUCUGCUGUCCUCUUAGGACUGAGUGUAGCACUGCUUUGAAGGGCUGUGUGCUCAAGAACUUUAAAGACUAGUAAUGAAGGGAGAAAACCAAGAAUGAGCUUUGGUUUUGUGUUGACGAAAGAAGCAAAUAAAAGUGAGAAGCCUAAUGUUUUCGAACUGUGGUAUAGUUGUUACGCGGAAUAAAAUGCAAGCCAAUUCACUUAAACCUUGGAGCUUUCAUUUUGAUCCUAUCUUAAAAUGCACUGCUGUUAUAGAUUGUACUACUAAAAUAAUUUGAGAAGCGAGGUAGAAUUUACCACUCUAAAACAAUUCAACUUUCUUCAACAUGGUGGAAGUAUUAGGAAGAAUUUCUGAACAAAAAUGUUGAACCUUAGGAUAUGGGGAAAACUCUAUAGGAAGCAAAAGCAAAGAUGGGAAUACACUGAUCCAAUGGUCCAAAAGGAAAUAAAUAAAAUAGUUGAAGAAUGAACUACUGACAUCAGUGGGAAAUACAGAAAAGAUUUUAAUAUGCAGUCUUCAUAUAAUGCUGUUUUAGCCAUACAUAGAAGGAAGAAGCAAUUAUAAAUACCAGAGCUGGCAACAAAUUAGGUCAGCUAUAAGCUCACUUCCUCCCAUUAGAGGAAAGCUAAAUGAGUGGUUCCAGGGGGCAUUAGAUCUAGGACAGCUAAUAUACAGCACUGCAUUUGAUUUAAAGUUCUAAAACCACAGGACAUCACAGUCCUAUUCAUGGUUUAUUGAAUUCCUUGAUUUGUUCCUGUCUUCUAUUACCCCAGGAACUGGAAUACUGGGAGAAGUAAAGAUACAUGAUAGUGAGAAUGUGAGCUAUCUAAAUUGUCUGUUUGUCAAAACAGUCAUAAAACUAGUACUUCUGACAUCUUCAUCAGUCAUGUCAGUGUGGUUCUCCUCAGAUUAGAUUGAGCUUUUUUUUUCAUCACAUGUUCCAGGUAAGUACUCUCCCACUGCACUGGGCUUUAUCCCCAGAUCCCCUUUUGUACUGGUUGUGUAUAUGAGACAGAGUCUCACUGACUUGUCCAGGGAAGCUGUGAACUUACUCGGUAGCCAGGUUAGCCUGAAACGUUCAGUUGUACUACCAGUAAUUAGGAUUCUAGGCCUGCAUGAGCAGAUUUGGGCCAACAGUUGUUAUUUAACAAUCAUUUUUCACUAUUAAUGUUCCAUUUAUUGACUGUUUCUAUUGUUAAAGUAGGUUAAUAGGCACAUGUUUACAAUUGAACAUUUUUAUUAUUGGAGAAGGCAUAUGUGUAUCCGCCAUGGCAUAUGUAUGGAGGUCCAGAGGCUACUUUUUAUGUCAUUUCUCUCCUUCCCACCUUCAUAUGUGUUCCAGGAACCAGACUCAGGUUGUUGGGCAUGGCUGUCACCUUCACCCUCUGAGACAUCAUGCUGACUUUAUAUAUCCUUUUAAACACUAAUAAUUUCAUAGAGAUAUAAGAAGAAAAAUAAUAUAAUUUGUUCUUCACCUUCUAGCUCUUUUCAAGAAAUAUUGAUUUUAAAGGUUUAUUUUUAAGGAAAAUGUAUAUUUUGCAUGUACUAUACACACUGAAUUAUCAUGUAAGUACUCUCUCACAGUUCUAUCUUGACUGACUUGCUUGGGAGAUACACACAUAACCACGUGAAGUCUUAUUUACGUUCAUGAAAUAUUCUAGUAUUGUGGUCACACUAAAUUCUUGUGUACUUAGGCCCAUUAAGUACUUGAAAUGUGACUAGUACAGACUAGGAUAUGUUGUUUUCAAAUUCCACUUAAUACAUUUUUAAUCUAAAGAGGGCAAUGAGCAUUCUCUAAUAGGAUCUUUCACAUUUUCCAAAGGUUCUGUUGGUGAUUUAGGAGAUGGUUCAGUGGAUGAAGCAUUUGCCACAAAAGUGUGAAGCCCUCACUUGAGAUCCCAGAUUCCCCAAGUCAUGUAUCAUCAGAUGCAACAGGAUACAUGGAAAGUCUUCCUAAGUGUCUGAGAGAAGCUUCAUCUUCAGACCUCUGGCAUGUGGGGCUGCUCACCAUGACCACCAUUUUCCCAGAAAGAGCUGAUGUGAGAUACGCUCAAGAGAACAGGAGGCAAAGCCUGUGACUUCCAAUGAAUUCAGACAGAAUUUCUUCCUUUGCUUUGGGCACAGUGUUGUUGAAAAUUAUCUUCAGCUGUUUGCUGAUAUAUGCGGGGCCUUUGUUAAUCCUGGAUAGCUGGCAUUGAGAUACACUAGGCAGCUAAAUUGCUCUAGUAAUUUAACAUUUGGCCAGCAGUUAGACACCUGCUUUUUCAUGACAUUCAUCUAUCUCCCUGUCUCUUUCAUCUCAUUCUCUGUCUUAUUUUUCUUACAGAUUUUCUCCUGGGUUUCCCAUAGGGAACAAGGACUUUGAAUGGCCAAGGAAAAGGAAUUUGAUGACAGGGACUUGUACCUUGUCAAAAAUAGAAGCUAUAUUCUUGUAAGUUUCAGAGUCCACUUACAGACCAAGGGAAGUUACAGUCCAAAUGGAGCUUCUCAGCUGUGCCACAGUAUAGGCCAGAGGAGGGAUGUUCUCCCUGAGCUCAGGGCUCAUACAUAAAAUUCAAGUGUAGCUGUUGACAACAUAAAUUUUGGGUUUUGUCCAAAGGGCUAUCUUAGUUUUAAGCCAUAACGCCAUUCCAUGGCAACUUUGUUGUUUAGAUUUAAUUUUUUUUUCAGCUACAGAGAUGACUCCAUGGUUAAGAGCACUCACUGACUGCUCUUCUGGUGACCAGGGUUUUAAUCACAGCAUUCAUAUAGCACUAGUAACCAUCCAUAUCUUUAGUUCCAGAGGAUCAUCUGCCCUCUUCUGGCCUUCAUAGGCAUUGCGAUCUUGUGGUGCACAGAUAUACCUGUAGGGGAAACAUCCAUAUGCAUAAACUGGAAGUAAAUAAAUCUUAAAAGUUAAUUAUGAGUGUAGGUCCCUGUGGAGUGCAGAAGACAGCUGCACUUCAGGAUCCCUUGAAGCUGAUGUUACAGGUAAUUGCGAGGGCCUGACAUGGGUGUUGGGAGGCCAACUCCAGUUCCCUGGAAGAGCAGGAAGUAAUAGGAACCAGACUGCCAUUUCUCUAGCUCUUCCAAGCCAGUUUUACUUCAUGGGCAAGUUUCUCAUCACAGGAAGGUCCAGUUAGUUACUGAGGCUGUAGCAUAAGGGUAACAAAACCUACAUCACAAAGUAAUUGUAAGAGUUAAAACAACAACAAAAAUUCUAAUGCUAUGAACUGAAGUUGUAACUUGAGAUACAGUUCCUAAAGGGUUGAAGUGAUGACAGCAUUCUUUUCACUGUGGUGUUAGGUCAUUCUUUUAGGCAAGAAUGAUCCUCUGGUUGUUACUUCCCUCAUCCAGCUCCCAUUUUUCUGUUUCUCUAAGAACUCAUGUAUCAGUUCAUUUUUUCAUUGCCGUGUUAAAGCACCAUGGCCAAAGAUGUGAGCUUAUUUUGGCCAAUUGUUCCAGAAGAGUAAGAUUAAAUUAGGGGGCAGGGGAAGCAUGGCAGCAGAUGGCAAGUGUGGUGGCAGGAGCAGGAGGCUUAGAGCUCACAUUCUUAAUUGCAGGUCUGGGGGAGGCAGAAAGGGUGGGAGAAAGGGGGAGAAAGAGAGGACCAACACAAAACAAAACACCACUGUGAGAAGCUAUGGACUCUCAAAGCCAGCUUAAAGUGAUAUACUUUCUCUAUCACAUUCACACCUCCAAGACCUCUAAAAACUACCACCAGCUAGGGACCUAGCUGUUUGAAUGCUUAAGCCUAUGGGGAACAUUUCUCAUGUAAACCACGAUAGUACCAUGUCAUCAUUGGUCUCAGAGUUUGUUUUUAAAAGUGAUAAUAAUGAAAACACUGAGAUUUGAAUGCUUUGUCUAUCGCAGUGAAUUCUUUUAUACCUUGUUGUUUUCUAGUGCAUUAUUCUGAACAUUUCAAAAGUAUAAGCAAUUUGAAAGACUUAUAUACCAAGUCUUCAUUCCCAUCCAAAAGUCUUCUGUUAAUAUUUACCCUACUUGCUUCGUCAUUUUACCUGGCAAUCCAUCUGUCCCUGUAAGUGGUCAUCAAUCAAUUCUUUGAACAAUUCAAAAUAAGUCAUAGAUACUAGCAAAAUUUCCCAUAAGUAUGUCAGUAUAUAUAACAUUAAAUGUAACUCAAUAUUUUACAAUGCUAUUCUUUAGACAAAUCAGGAAAACAUACAGUUCGGAGUAUUUACAAAUGGUUCAUACCUGUGCAAGACCUCUCCUAGUCUUCCUUCCUCAGCCUAUAUAUUCUAGCCUCUCCUUGAGACCAAGUGCAUCAAGGCAGCUUGCAUACAUCAGGUGGUAGGAGAAGCUGGAUAUUUGGGGUGGGGGAAUAAGGGUGUGGAGGGGUGGAUGGUGGUCUUGUGACAUCAUUCCAGAAAGUUCCUUCCAAAGCUUCCAAAUCAUGUGCUUAUUUUCACAGGCCAGAUGGUUAGUCCCUCAGGGAUUAGUUCUAGAAACUGUUGUCAGUGGAACCCAUAUGAUAUGUGUUUUUUUUUUAAAUGAUUCUUUAAAAAGCACAAAGCUUCCAAAUAUAUUUUUCUUGUCACUGAAUGUUAUUGCACUGUAUAUUAAUACCCCACACUUUAAAAACUUUUCAUUAAUAGACACAUAAGUUGCUUCAAGUUUAUGGCUAGUAUAGAAAAUCUACUAUGAACUUUCUCCUCUGAGAAUUUAUUUGUGAAUGAUUGUAUAUCUCUUAGUUAAUACAUAUAUAUAUAUUAUGUAUAUAUAAUUUAUGUGAAUUCCUUUUGUUUACAACCUCUUCAACAAUUGGAGCUGUUUGUCUUUUUAACCCACCUAUUUUGAUGAAUGUGCUAUUAUCUCGUUUUCAAAUGCAUUUAUGAAGAGUAGUUAUACUGGUAAUCUCUAUGUAACUGACCAUUGUUCUUUUCUCUCAGAGUUUUGUAUACUUGGAAAUUACUUGACUGUCACCACUACAGGGAUCCCUCAUUUUUUGAGAUUUACUUUGUUAGAUAUGCAUUGUGAAUAUUUUCUCUCAGUCUCUUAUUUACUUGAGUUUUUUAAAUAAAAAUAGGAUUUUGAUGAAA